AAAUAUAUGUUAAGUGGAAAAGGAUGUGGCGUUGCCCAGACAACUAGGAUGUUGGCUUAGAAGCAGCCAUCAUUUAAAGAGUGCGUAAUAGCUCACUAGUCGAGUGACACUGCGCCGAAAAUGUACCGGGGCUAAACAUAUUACCGAAGCUGUGGAUUGUCCUUUGGACAAUGGUAGGAGAGCGUUCUAAGGGCGUUGAAGCAUGAUCGUAAGGACAUGUGGAGCGCUUAGAAGUGAGAAUGCCGGUGUGAGUAGCGAAAGACGGGUGAGAAUCCCGUCCACCGAUUGACUAAGGUUUCCAGAGGAAGGCUCGUCCGCUCUGGGUUAGUCGGGUCCUAAGCUGAGGCCGACAGGCGUAGGCGAUGGAUAAU
rnacentral:rRNA from 1 species